rnacentral:rRNA from 1 species
AGGGCACCACCAGGAGUGGAGCCUGCGGCUUAAUUUGACUCAACACGGGAAAACUCACCCGGCCCGGACACCGUAAGGAUUGACAGAUUGAUAGCUCUUUCAUGAUUCGGUGGUUGGUGGCGCAUGGCCGUUCUUAGUUCGUGGAUCGAUUUGUCUGGUUUAUUCCGAUAACGAGCGAGACUCUAGCCUACUAAAUAGUAACGGGAUUACUUUUGUCCCGGUUGCUUCUUAGAGGGAUUUUCGGUGUUUAGCCGCACGAGAUUGAGCAAUAACAGGUCUGUGAUGCCCCUAGAUGUCCGGGGCUGCACGCGCGCUACACUGGCGAAAUCAGCGUGCUGUAUCCAUUCGCGAAAGGGAUUGGUAAACCCAUGAAAAUUUGCCGUGCUUGGGAUCGGAAAUUGCAAUUAUUUUCCGUGAACGAGGAAUUCCAAGUAAGUGCGAGUCAUCAACUCGCUCUGAUUACGUCCCUGCCCUUUGUACACACCGCCCGUCGCUGCCCGGGACUGAGCCAUUUCGAGA